UUUUUGGGGCGGCCCCAUCUCACCGCGGCCGCCGCCCCCAGAUCCAGCCCGACCUUCGGGAGCUGAUGGAGACGAUGAACCGCAUGAGCCACCUGCCCCCCGACUUCGAGGGCCGCCAGAAGGUGAACCAGUGGCUGCAGACGCUGAGCGGGAUGUCGGCCUCGGACGAGCUGGACGACUCCCAGGUGCGCCAGAUGCUCUUCGACCUCGAGUCCGCCUACAACGCCUUCAACCGCUUCCUGCACGCCUGAGGGGCUGACGCUGCCCCCCCCGGCCCC